UCUCCGUUGGUGAACCAGCGGAGGGAUCAUUACAGAGUUUUAUAACUCCCAACCCUUUGUGAACUUACCUUUGUUGCCUCGGCGGGGCUUACCCGGUACCGAUCCCUUUUGGGAGAAGCUACCCUGUAACCCGCCGGUGGACAUUCCAACUCUUGUUAAUUUUAAUGUUAUCUGAGCGUCUUAUUUUAAUAAGUCAAAACUUUCAACAACGGAUCUCUUGGUUCUGGCAUCGAUGAAGAACGCAGC
rnacentral:misc_RNA from 1 species